AGCGAACGCUGGCGGCAGGCUUAACACAUGCAAGUCGAGCGGGCAUCCUUGUGGUGUCAGCGGCAGACGGGUGAGUAACGCGUGGAAACGUGCCCUUCGGUUCGGAAUAACUCAGGGAAACUUGAGCUAAUACCGGAUACGUGCGAGAGCAGAAAGGUUUAUCUGCCGAAGGAUCGGCCCGCGUCUGAUUAGCUAGUUGGUGAGGUUAUGGCUCACCAAGGCGACGAUCAGUAGCUGGUCUGAGAGGAUGAUCAGCCACACUGGGACUGGGACACGGCCCAGACGCCUACGGGAGGGAGCAGUGGGGAAUGGUGGACAAUGGGGGCAACCCUGAUCCAGCCAUGCCGCGUGAGUGAUGACGGCCUUAGGGUUGUAAAGCGCUUUUCGCCGGGACGAUAAUGACGGUACCGGAGGAAUAAGCCCCGGCUAACUUCGUG
rnacentral:rRNA from 1 species